ensembl:lncRNA
AGCUACCAACAUCUCUUUUCCCCCAAGCCUUAUUUCUUUAGCUCUGGCUUAGCUCCUGUAACCAAGUCGGCUAAGUAAGUCCAUGCAGUUUUUGGAUAGUUUGAAGUUGGUGUAUGAGGUUGCAUUUCAGAGGGAGCUGUUUCCGGGUGGUGCACGGUGGUGUCGUCUUUGUUUUCCUGAACAGGAGACUGCUGGAUUUGUUUCUCUUCCACGGCACAUGUCACGUUCAUCAUGAGAUCUCCUCUAGAGCAGUGAUGAGCUAUUUCAUCGAGUGUCAUUAGCUCCUCUAACAGCCAUCUUCACUGAGAGAAGUCAAACACACGUACGGAGUUGAAUAUUAGAGGACUGCCGGACACCCAGCUGGUCUGUGGAGACAACCUGCCCAAGGAGAGCCAGAGCCAGGGGUUCAACACAGCAGGAGGAGGUGGGAGACAGCAAGUCACUGGCCUACAACAACCAGAUACAGGAAGUGACAUCAGAACCCAGUAUAGGGGAAGGCCAACCGCAAAAGGACAAGGGGGCUGGCCUCCGAGGUAACCAGGAGACGUCUGCAGCACUGGAGGAGGGGGGCCGACAGAGAAUGGAGGGCCAGGUGUGUGUGGGGAAUGGUAGGAUGUCAUUUUGGAUUUUGUUCAAUUCUAUUAUUUCUGUUCAAGUUUUUUGAUAAUAAGUAACAGGAGAGGCAUAAACUGCCAGUUACUCAUACAGUGCAAAACAGUUCCUAUGUGCUUCCAUGAACAAAGAAAAGAAAAGACAGUGUCCAACCAAAGUUAUUUCUUAUAGUUUAGGAAAAAAUACUUUCUCUGGAAUUCCCACCUUUGUAGUUAUAGUAUCUAUUGACACUUGCUGAAUAGAAUUUGGCACUCUGAGUCAGUUGAGCGAUACAGUAUACCACUAAAGCCUCAUGAGUAAAAUGAGAUGCAUAUCUUAUCCAACAAUGCAUGGUCUUGGUUUCCUGAAGGGUUAAAUAGAUAGGAUCACCCACGCCCUCUAUGUUAUUACUGUACCAGCCUGAGCCUUAGUGAAUAGCAGAGUUGAAGGCUCACACAUGAAUAGGGCACGGAAACUACAUUGUACUACACUAAACAUACCUACAUUCAAGUGUGUGUAUGCUGUAUGCGUGCAUGUACUUUAUGAGUGUAUGUAUGUGUGUGUGUGUUUAGGUGUGUGUGCGUGUGCGUGUGUGUGCGAGUGUAUGCACGCUUGUGUGUGUGUGUUUUAAUCCAUAUUUCUGGGUGUGGAAGGUGUGUGUUUGGAGGAGAGGUGCCUCAGUGGGAGCAGGAGGUCAUCCCCCAGGGUGGUGUUGUUACUACCGUACCCAGAGAGAGAGAGGGACAGAGGAGCCUAGGGGCCCGGGGUCCUUCUUUUUCUUUGAAGGAGUCACUCCCCUAUACCAAUGAUAUGACAUUUUAAGACAAUUCAAC